rnacentral:rRNA from 1 species
GAUGAACGCUGGCGGCGUGCCUAACACAUGCAAGUCGAGCGAACGGACGAGAAUCUUGCUUUUCUGAUGUUAGCGGCGGACGGGUGAGUAACACGUGGAUAACCUACCUAUAAGACUUGGAUAACUUCGGGAAACCGGAGCUAAUACCGGAUAAUAUUUUGAACCGCAUGGUUCAAAAGUUAAAUCCGGUCUUGCUGUCACUUAUAGAUGGAUCCGCGCUGCAUUAGUUAGUUGGUAAGGUAACGGCUUACCAAGGCAACGAUGCAUAGCCGACCUGAGAGGGUGAUCGGCCACACUGGAACUGAGACACGGUCCAGACUCCUACGGGAGGCAGCAGUAGGGAAUCUGGCGCAAUGGGCGAAAGCCUGACGGAGCGAGGCAGCGUGAGUGAUGAAGGUCUUCGGAUCGUAAAACGCUGUUAUUAGGGAAGAACAUAUGUGUAGGUAACUGGGCACAUCUUGACGGUACCUAAUCAGAAAGCCACGGCUAACUACGUG